GAUGAACGCUAGCUACAGGCUUAACACAUGCAAGUCGAGGGGCAGCGUGGAGCAGCAAUGCUCUGACGGCGACCGGCGGAAGGGUGCGUAACACGUGAGCGACUUGCCCGUCACAGGGGGAUAACCGGCGGAAACGGCGACUAAUACCCCAUACGAUGCGAUGCUGCAUGGCAUUGCAUUGAAAGAUUCAUCGGUGGCGGAUAGGCUCGCGGGACAUUAGCUAGACGGCGGGGCAACGGCCCACCGUGGCGACGAUGUCUAGGGGUUCUGAGAGGAAGGUCCCCCACAUUGGAACUGAGACACGGUCCAAACUCCUACGGGAGGCAGCAGUGAGGAAUAUUGGUCAAUGGGCGAGAGCCUGAACCAGCCAAGUAGCGUGAAGGAUGAAGGUUCUAUGGAUCGUAAACCUCUUUUAUAAGGGAAUAAAGUGCGGGACGUGUCCCGUUUUGUAUGUACCUUAUGAAUAAGGAUCGGCUAACUCCG
rnacentral:rRNA from 1 species